UGAAUCAAACAGAACAAACAUGUUAGAGACCUCUACAUGGUUUAAAUGAAUUUAAGAAAGCUCACAAAUGAAAGAGUAACUCAGUAAAAAGGUGUUCUACUUGCAGUAUCCCACAGUAUUCUGAGAAGGUUUGUGAAUUACACGACUUAAAUCUUUUGAGCGCCCACGGGGUUAAAGAUGUUAUAUAUGAUCGCAUAUGUCUGCAUUUUUAAGUUUAGACUAUUUCUGAACGCAUUUAUAACCGUCCUACUUUACAUCAAGUCCCGUACUACAUAAUAAAUGGCACAUCUUGUUAGCAUGAUUGAUACAAAAAGCUUUUAAUGCCGUUCAGAUAUUUUAGAGGUAGCAAGGUAGCGUGUAGACGGCCGGAAUGUUUCACUGCACGUCCCGAUUUUUACUUUUCUGAAUGCGACUACACCAUUUACACUCUCUGCAUUUUCCAUACGAAAUCAGUGCAAAAUGGCGCAUGUUGUAGUUAAAUUAAGCGUCUUCUUGUUCAUAAUUUUUGCUUUUGAUAGCGACAGAUGUUUUAGUGACGUAACAAAGUGUGAUUUAAUUAAGGAAGACUACAUCGAUAAAAGAAACAAACCAGUCUUGCUGAAAAACGUAAAUCCUCUACUCAAAUGGGACCAUUUGAACUAACACGUUCUCGUCUCAUGAGGGAAUCGAAA